rnacentral:lncRNA from 1 species
GAUGGGUAGAGACUAUCCCAUAUGUUUUAAGGCAGACAGACACAAACACACACACUAUUACAUAACAUGUUCACAUUCCAAGGCCCAUUCUGUGACUUGCUGAAGCAGCGAAUAGGUUACUCCAUAUUUGAAGACUUACACUAACCUUUCUCUUUCCAAUUUUCCUUGUACUGCAGGAGUUACUGAUUCUGACCGAACUCAGUGGCUCAAUAAACAACUUUGCUAUCUCAGAAAAUCACCCUCUUUGCCAGCAAGAUGUUUGGAGUCAUUCCAAGAAAAAGAGAGAAAAAAAAAUUCUGGUCAAUGGAGAGACGGGACCACAUUGAAAGAGAUCAGAAGACAUUCCUUUCCUGCAGCAAUAAGGAGGACACCCCUGGCUGUAAUGAGAGUCUGAUGAGCUGCUUCAAGGGAAAGGGUGAGGAGAGUGAUUGUUACUUUCUUACCGAUGACAUACCCAGCCCUAUCUCAUUUCUCCAACCACUUGAAAAAAGUUUAUUGACAUAGGUAAUUGCAGCACCAUUGUACUUCUCCCACUUCUGUGUUUCUCUUGGAAUCAGCCAGCACAAAUCAAAACCCUGUAAGAGAUUCUCUUCUCCCCAUCUCUUUUUCCAAUUUGCCCCACAGUGGCUCUGGUAUGUGUUACCCUCACUUCAGGAAACUAAUGAGCCCUCCUUUAUUACACUAUGUUUGUGCUCCUGGUCACCUUUGGUAAGUGUGUUUUAAUAAAAAAAAAAAAAGAGAUAAUUUCUUAGAACAAACAUGCUCCUGCCAUGAAACUGGCAUAUGGUAGGUAAAUCUGACUAGACACAGAUUUUUGUCUAAAAUCUUGAGAAGAGCUAAUUCAUAUAGUUAACUGGACCUAGCUAUAAGGUUCAGAAAUCUCCAACCCUAAAAGUGAAGAUGAUAAAUAUAGACAAUAAUUAAUUAUACCAUAGUUCUCUAAUUUUUUUUUUUUUUUAAGGCUGGAGUUAUACAUCCUUGAGAUGAAGGUGAUCUUUUAGGUAAUACAGUAUGGGAAUCAGAC